AGACUUUUCAUCCUGCUUCCCGAGAGUAAAAAAGUACUGUAAAAAAUAUUGUGAUAAUAUACACUAGACUGAGUAUAAUAUAUACGCGCACAUGUAAACGCAACUGAAAAGCUAACGAGGAGAAAAAGUGAAUAUGAACCGUUCUGAUACUUCCUUCUUGUACCCCAGUGGCUUAUCUAGAGCACACCCACGUUGAGACGGGCUAGGUGAGGCCCAGAGCCUUCCCUGUUCCCUGAAGAGCGGUGACAGGUGAGGGAAUUUGCCUAUUAACAUCAGGGAUGGGCUUUAGGUGACGCCCAUGAAAUAAGCCACACCUCUGGUUGGGGAUCUGAUCUGUAUGUGAUCGGAAGACGUGUCAGAGCGGAGACAUGUGUUCCCUGUCUCCACUAGGCCUCCAACUAGGAGACAGGUUUGACCUUCGGGGCCAGGAGGUGGGGUCCCCACGCAGGCCAGUGUGAGGCACCUGAAGGCCUCCGGCUGGGACCAUUAACAUGAGAGACACCUAUUUCUACUGUAGAGAAGGUCGGGAAUUGCUCAACGCUGAAUGACACAAGGACUGUUCUUCCACCAGUCAGGUCGGCCAAGGCCCCUCUGCUCCCUUGAACUCUAGAAUGUGCUGUGGCCCAUCUGGACCAGCUCCCUGCAGAGACCUGGGCACCAUCAUGCCCUUGGAGUCUUCCGUCUCUUCUCAGUGUCCAGAGCACUGGGCUCCAGACCUGGCUUGUGGCCUUGUGGUCCCACAGAGGUGCCUUGGGAGCUUCUUGGGUGAUGGAGGGCCUAAUGGGAGCGC